ACGGGAGGCAGCAGUGGGGAAUAUUGGGCAAUGGGCGAAAGCCUGACCCAGCAACGCCGCGUGAAGGAAGAAGGUCUUCGGAUUGUAAACUUCUUUUAUGAGGGACGAAGGACGUGACGGUACCUCAUGAAUAAGCUACGGCUAACUACGUGCCAGCAGCCGCGGUAAUACGUAGGUAGCGAGCGUUAUCCGGAUUUACUGGGUGUAAGGGGCGCGUAGGCGGGGAAGCAAGUCAGGUGUGAAAUCUAUGGGCUUAACCCAUAAACUGCACUUGAAACUGUCGUUCUUGAGUGCUGGAGAGGUAGGCGGAAUUCCUAGUGUAGCGGUGAAAUGCGUAGAUAUUAGGAAGAACACCAGUGGCGAAGGCGGUCUACUGGACAGUAACUGACGCUGAGGCGCGAAAGCGUGGGGAGCAAACAGGAUUAGAUACCCUGGUA
rnacentral:rRNA from 1 species